AUUGAACGCUGGCGGCAGGCCUAACACAUGCAAGUCGGGCGAGCGGCGGAGGGGAGUGUAAUGUAUGGGGCUCUGCGUGAUGGAGGGGGAUAACUACGGGAAACUGUAGAUAAUACCGCGUACCAUAGGCUGAGCCCAAGUGGGAUUAUGUAGUUGGUGAGGUAAAGGCUCACCAAGCCGACGCUCUCUAGCUGGUCUGAGAGGAUGACCAGCCACACUGGGACUGAGACACGGCCCAGACUCCUACGGGAGGCAGCAGUGGUGAAGAUGGCGCAAUGGGGGCAAGCCUGAUGCAGCCAUGCCGCGUGAAUGAAGAAGGCCUUCGGGUUGUAAAGUUCUUUCGGUAGCGAGGCGUUACCUACAGAAGAAGCACCGGCUAACUCCGUGCCAGCAGCCGCGGUAAUAC
rnacentral:rRNA from 1 species